GUGAUUUAAUUUUAAUGCAGGAUGCAAAAUCCAUGUCACAAUGAAAAAAUGUUGAGCGAUCAAAGACAAAAAGCUAAAUAACAUUCAUUUAACAUAUGUUGUUCAUUUAAUCACCAGUAAAUGCAUCCAUAAAAACAAAAUACAUGUGGCAACCUGUGUUGUAUUUAUCUUUAUUUCAGGCAUUUCAAAUUUUCCAUACAAAGGAGCCCAAACCAUGAAAACCAUCCAGGGAACAAAAAAUACACCAAGGAGAAACGUCCUGGACGAGACGGUGCUUAUCGGCUGGAUCUUCAGCAGGACGACAAAGGACGUACAAACGCUGCAACACAGAGAUGAACAAGAUGAGUGAGACCUUUCCAGUGGACUUGACACCUUUCCAGAUACUGAAGUAGCAGACCACCCAACAGGCAAGAAGACACAGAGCCAGCUCCCAUCUCACACUGCCCAGCUCCUCAAUGCCUCCAGACAUGGCCAACACACGUCGUCUGAGUAGAGGACAAGUUUAAGAGUGGACACAGUUUCCUCCAGCAGGUGAUGAAUCCUUCCUGGGUGUACUGACCACUUGAAGUCUCCAGCAGGAACAGAGGAAUCCCACAC